rnacentral:rRNA from 1 species
GACGAACCGUGCGAACGUUGUUCGGAAUCACUGGGCUUAAAGGGCGCGUAGGCGGCACAGCAAGUCGGGAGUGAAAGCCCGGGGCUCAACCCCGGAACUGCUUUCGAAACUGCUGAGCUAGAGUACAGAAGGGGCAACCGGAAUUCCCAGUGUAGCGGUGAAAUGCGUAGAUAUUGGGAAGAACACCUGAGGCGAAGGCGGGUUGCUGGGCUGAUACUGACGCUGAGGCGCGAAAGCCAGGGGAGCAAACGGG